rnacentral:rRNA from 1 species
UUCAACUCCCAACCCCUGUUUAACAUACUAUACGUUGCCUCGCCGGAUCAUUACCGCGCCCCGUAAAAAGGGACGGCCCGCCCGAGGACCCCUAAACUCUGUUUUUAGUGGAACUUCUGAGUAAAACAAACAAAUAAAUCAAAACUUUCAACAACGGAUCUCUUGGUUCUGGCAUCGAUGAAGAACGCAGCAAAAUGCGAUAAGUAAUGUGAAUUGCAGAAUUCAGUGAAUCAUCGAAUCUUUGAACGCACAUUGCGCCCGCCAGUAUUCUGGCGGGCAUGCCUGUUCGAGACGUCAUUUCAACCCUCAAGCUCAGCUUGGAUGUAAGGGACUCGCGGUAACCCGCGUUCCCCAAAUCGAUUGGCGGUCACGUACGAGCUUCCAUAGCGUAGUAAUCAUACAGCCUCGUUACUAGGUAAUCGUCGACGGACCACGCCGUAAAACCCCAACUUCUGAAUGUUAGACCUCGGAUCAGGUAGGAAUACCCGACUGAACUUAAGCAUAUCAAUAA